rnacentral:piRNA from 1 species
UAGGGCUUGAAGAUUCUGUGGCA